CACGAUACAUUGUCUCUCACCCUUUGUGCUCCCUUUUGUGCAACAUUUAGCUGAACUCAGAGGACUCGGACCCGUAAAUUCACCGUGAAGGUCUGAAGAAACAUGGAAAUAUAUUUUGCAGGCAUCGGCAGGCCACGGCACUCGCUCUGGCGCACUGCGGGGCAGAGGUCAUGGCUGUCACAAGCACGCAGGCUGACCUGGACAGCAUUCUGCUGCAGUGUCCAUCAAUCAAGCCAGUGUGUGUGGACCUAGGGAACUGGGGGGCCACAGAGGAGGCGCUAUGGGAGGCUGUUGGUAAAGCUGAUCUCCUGGUGAAUAAAGCAGCCUGCGUCAUGCUGGAGCCCUUCCUAGAGGUCGCCCCCAACCAGUUUGACACGUAAAGAAGCUCUCUUUGUUGUCCUUUGAUUCAUGUAUUGAUUCAUAUUCAUUAAAGUGAAACACAAGUCACUCAAGGCAAGGUAUUAGACCUGUGUUUUAGACCUAGAGUACAUGUAUUAGACCUGUGUUUUAGACCUAGAGUACAUGUAUUAGACCUGUGUUUUAGACCUAGAGUACAUGUAUUAGACCUGUGUUUUAGACCUAGAGUACAUGUAUUAGAUCUACAGUACAUGUAUUAGACCUGUGUUUUAGACCUAGAGUACACGUAUUAGACCUGUGUUUUAGACCCAGAGUACAUGUAUUAGACCUAGAGUACAUGUUUUAGACCUGUGCUUUAGACCUAGAGUACAUGUAUUAGACCUGUGCUUUAGCCCCAGAGUACAUGUAUUAGACCUGUGUUUUAGACCUAGAGUACAUGUAUUAGACCUGUGUUUUAGACAUAGAGUACAUGUUUUAGACCUGUGUUUUAGACCCAGAGUACAUGUAUUAGACCUAGAGUACAUGUAUUAGACCUGUGUUUUAGACCUAGAGUACAUGUAUUAGACCUGUGUUUUAGACCUAGAGUACAUGUAUUAGAUCUACAGUACAUGUAUUAGACCUGUGUUUUAGACCUAGAGUACACGUAUUAGACCUGUGUUUUAGACCCAGAGUACAUGUAUUAGACCUAGAGUACAUGUAUUAGACCUGUGUUUUAGACAUAGAGUACAUGUAUUAGACCUGUGUUUUAGACCUAGAGUACAUGUUUUAGACCUGUGCUUUAGACCCAGAGUACAUGUAUUAGACCUGUGUUUUAGACCCAGAGUACAUGUAUUAGACCUAGAGUACAUGUAUUAGACCUGUGUUUUAGACCUAGAGUACAUGUACUAGACCUGUGUUUUAGACCUAGAGUACAUGUAUUAGACCUGUGUUUUAGACCUAGAGUACAUGUAUUAGACCUGUGUUUUAGACCUAGAGUACAUGUAUUAGACCUGUGUUUUAGACCUAGAGUACAUGUAUUAGACCUGUGCUUUAGACCUAGAGUACAUGUAUUAGACCUGUGUUUUAGACCUAGAGUACAUGUAUUAGACCUGUGUUUUAGACCUAGAGUACAUGUAUUAGACCUGUGCUUUAGACCUACAUAAAGUACAGUGUAUUUGGAAAGUAUUCAGACUUUUUCCACAUUUCGUUACAUUACAGCCUUAUUCUAAAAUGGAUGAAAUGUUCUCCAAAGCAAUCUACACAAAAUGACAAAACAGAAAGACAUUUUUGCAUAUGUAUAAAAACUUAAAUAACUGUGUGAUUUAACAUUUGAUACUGGUGCUUUUCUAUUUACCAAUUUCUGUGUUUGUGCUUUUCUAAUAACCGUUUUCUGUGUUCAUGCAAGUGACUGACUGAACGAACCCUCACAAUCAGUAUCUGUAAUUUGACAGUACGUCCAGACCCUUGUUUUGAGAACAAAAGAUAUCUCUGUUUCAAGGUCUCAGCUUAGAGAGAUGAAGCCGCGUGAGGUAUUGGUCUGUCACAUGCAUGACCCAGUACUGGUCAGUCACAUGAAGGAAGCAAACGUUAGUGAUGAAUUAAUUAUGAUUGAAUAAGCUAAAUCAUGCAAAUACAACUUGUCUGCAUAUAAGAGAACUAACGGGACUGCCCCGAUAGAGCUCUUGAUCGACAUGUGUACAUGGUGCAUUGAGUUGGUUGGAACCUCUCCAGCACGCUGAUAAUAAACAAUGAUUUAUACAAGAUUGACUUUGAGUGUCCCAUGUGUAAGAAUUUCCAAAACAAUUUGGUGUCAACGAACAGGAUGAUUGAU